AAAUGCCUAUCUUGCUAUUUUUCUCUUCUACUCAACACUUGGUUGGAUGCUUGGUUGGAUCCUUCAAAUGAAACCAUUUGCUUCCAAUUUAUAGCCAAAGGAAGUGACUUCUCAAAGAAGCCAAAGGUUAGGCAAAGUCAACAAUAGCCUACCACCAUGCAUUCACAUAGGCAAAGUCAACAAUAGCCUACCACCAUUUGUGAAAGCCAAUUAAUGCAUUCACAUUGCAACUUCAACAAUAGCCUACCACUUUUGACUAUUGGUUUGAGGCAAUAAUCAACAAUUAUCCGGAGACUAUGUUUUUCCAUUAAACUUUCUUUUUGUCCAUCUUUCUGUACCACCUGGAGUGCACUAUGCUUGUACUUCUCAGUUAUCCAUAACGUAAUUACUUUGCCACAUGCCUUGACUUUGUGGUAUCUUGAUGUAUGUAUUAUCCAUCCUCACCCUUUCUCUUCCUUUCAACGUGUUACUGAUUGUUAAUCUGCCAUUUGAUCUUUGUCAGUUUCAAUGUCUCAUAUUCAAGCAGACGAAGUACAUAGUUAUGGCUUCUCUUUCUGGGCGUGAAGUAGAAUAUUGCAACAUAGCCAAAUUUGACAUAACUUCUAUAUAUAUGUUUGAUGGAUUAAUCUCGUGAGACGUACUCAUUCUGCCAUCACUUGGUGUCUAACCUCCUAUGAUGUUUUAUCUACAAAUGUGAAACUGUUGUAUAUCUAGAAAGUAUGAAAGUGGGAGGUAAAAAAAAGGAAUAUCUUAGAAGCAAAAAGAUGGCCAAGCCUUGUGAAAUUCAUGGCAGCAUGCAUGGGUGCCAUGUAGCAUAAAAUAGAAUAUGUAUUUGCAGGAUCACACUGUUCUCUUAUCGAAGCGUCACCUUUUGUAACUUAUGAUUGAAUUAAUUGCAUGAAAAUAGUGACCAGCAGGACCAUAAUGCAAUUAUAUUACGUGAAAGGAUUUCACACAUUCCAUAUUGUUAUUUUGUUGCAUACAAUUAGUGAUGUCUAAAGUCUGAAUUCUUUUCCUUUUAUUUUCCUAACUAUAUUCACGAUUAUAGUAAUAGGACAGAUGAUUCCUGACCUCUCAUUUUUAAUCUUCUAGUAUUUCUUAAAACUAUCUUUUCAGAGAUUGUUCCAUUUGCUUCAGGCUUUAUCAGGUGCGGCAAAAGUUGUAUGAGCUACUUCUUAAUUGUAUUCCUCCAGAGAUCAUCUUGAAGAGGCUUCUUUAUGAGUUAUUGAAGAAGUUGGAUGCAGAGUUGAAGCACGAGGUCUGCCAUUGGGCUGCAUAUUAUGAACAUAGGAUGCGUCUUGGGCAGAAAGCUAUAUUUCACCUUGAAGCUUUCGUGGCCAAGUUCAUGAGCAUUUAUAAGGGUUUCCUCAUUGCAGCAUUUGGUUGAACACCAGACUUGCAUGAUUUCCUUGAAUCAAAAAUGUUACUUUGAACAUGAUGGCAGUGAACUGUGUACAUGUGUCACUAUACAUUAUGGGAAGAUUUUGUAGUAAGUCUCUUCUCUUUCAUUGUUUUUCCUUUUCUAUUUGAAAAUUGGCUGUACCUCCCGAAGUUAAGAUCUUUGCCUGGCUGUUUCUACAGAAUUGGCUAAAUACUACAGAAAAGUUAGCCAAGUUCAUGGACAUCCGAUGUCUCCAUUUGUAAUCAAAGUGAUGAACUUUUUAAUCAUCUCUGUUUGGAGUGACAUUUUGCCCAACAAAUCUGUUCUCAACUUUCACCCUUCUUAAGCUAAACAUUCCUGUAGGCAUUAAUAUUGUUUAGUAAGAGUCUACCUCACCUGAUUGUGAAAAAAACUGACUGUUUGCUGGCAAA